AGCGAACGUUUGCGGCGGGCCUAACACAUGCAAGUCGAACGGGCUAGCAAUAGUCAGUGGCGCACGGGUGCGUAACACGUGGGUAAUCAACCCUUCAGCUCGGGAUAACGCCUUGAAAGGGGCGCUAAUACCGGAUACGACGCGAGGAGCUUCGGCUGCUUGCGGGAAAGAUUCGCAAGGAUCUCUGAAGGACGAGCCUGCGGCCCAUCAGCUAGUUGGUGAGGUAAGAGCUCACCAAGGCGAAGACGGGUAGCUGGUCUGAGAGGAUGAUCAGCCACACUGGAACUGAGACACGGUCCGGACUCCUACGGGAGGCAGCAGUGGGGAAUAUUGCGCAAUGGGCGAAAGCCUGACGCAGCCACGCCGCGUGAGCGAUGAAGGCCUCGGUCGUAAG
rnacentral:rRNA from 1 species